rnacentral:rRNA from 1 species
AGACAGUCGCGGCAUGGGAGCCCGCUCACGAGUGCCACAUCCGCAGGUUUUACUGUGUCAAGGGAGGACAGAAACAACGCACCCCUCGCACCUCUGGCUCACGGCCUUCGUUCUCUUCUCUCCGCCGCCGCCGCCAGCCUCACCGGCGCUCGUGCUUCAUCUCCCGUCCCGAGCCCUCGACCCCAACACGCCGCCACCUCAUCUCCCCAUCCCAGCCCCCCUCCCCCUCUAUGUAACCUAUCUCCUUCCCCUUUCUCUUCUCAAUAUGGAUCCAUGGAGGUGGGCAGCAGGGGCGCCAUCAACCGCGACGCUAGCCGUUGCCACACAAAGGAUCGAGUCCCACGUCCAUGUCUUCGUCUCCACGCCACCUCUCUCAUCACCAUGAAUCUGGAUUCGUCGAGGUGGCAAGCGGGCGUCGCUCGCACCACUCCCUCCUCCCUCGUCAGUCAUCGUCUGGUCCUCUCGAUGGGGGAGGAGUAGGGGAUCCCGCCGGAUGAGAGGCUUGCGGGCACGGUGGCGGGCGUCUCCAGUAGCGGCGGCGACCUGCAGGCCAAGGGCUACGGCGGGGCGCUCGAUUUGAUCCAGCUUAAUGGACUGGUCCCUUCAGGAGAGAGAAGGAAGGAGAGGAGGGAGAAAGAGAGGAACGAGGAGAGGGAGCUGCAGCGGCAGAUGGGAGAGCAUCACCGACCAUCGCAUCUCNNNNNNNNNNNNNNNNNNNNNNNNNNNNNNNCCUCGCUUCUGGUCAACGCUGCCGCCUCCAUCCCCGGCAACAUCUUCGUCACACACAGCCGCCUCCUUCCGCACCCCUCUUCGUCGCGCACGGCAACAAAUGGAGGUCCUCUCAGGGAGUACUAAUAUUAUUCAGUUAGCAUGCUUUUCGUGGAAGAGGAAUGAGGAUGUAAAGGUUAGAAAAUGGUAACUGAAUGAGUGUUCUCUUUUUCUGCCUCUGACUUGAAGAAAUAUACUUGUUAAUAAAUAGAAGCUUAGAUCUGUAAUCAAGCUGUGAAAGAGAGUACUGUAAUAGAGACUUCUAUAAGCAGAGGUAUGUACCUGCAUUUACACCUUAAAUAUCCCUUAAUUAGUUCUGUAUGGUUCGUCUAAUUCAUGUUGAAAUGGUUUUCUUUAGUCUGUUAAUUGUAUAGGUAAUUAGACGGUGUAGUACUAUGGCGGUGGUAUACUGAUUUGGCGUAAUAAUUACGGACAUGACUUCGUGUGUACAAUCUUACAGUUGAAGAGCUCCCCAGGCUUAACAUCUUUCUUGGAUAAUUGCGUUGCUAAAUAUGAAGGAUUCGCUCAUGUGCCAAAGCCAGCUCGGGGAAGCCUUCCUGGACUCCUGAUCAACCAGGACAAUCACGACACGAGCUUAAGCGAGCGGAACGUCGAAGGAGGAUCUUGGGGAUGACGGAGGCGUCAACAACAACCUCAAAGGUUCAUAUAUCAUCGCACUGAUUUAUUUUUUCAUUAGGUUGUGAUGUCAAGAUUACAUAUGUACACCACUUAUUCAUUAGUUCACUGUAAAUUAUUUAGGUAUAUAAUUAUAUCAACAACCAAAAAGCUCAACGGUCCUGAAUCCUGGGAUAUGGGAAGUUUGAAGAGGCCCAACAGGCCCGCCCCAGUGGCUACAAUGAACUCAUUUCGAAUUGUCAAAGAUGUGAAAAUGCUUUUCUGGACACACUUAAGAAUUCAUUUUAUUUAGUAUUCAUUUCGUGCAGAAUGAACUCAUGUCAUUUAGUAUUCAACAUGACCAUCUUUUUUUCCAUGGACACACCUAUGAACAUGAUUGAAUUGUGUUUCCAUGAAGUGUAAUUGUCGGUUUGCAGGGUGUGCUAUAUCAUCGACCUUGUAAGACUGCCACUAUCUGUUAAUAUAGAC